rnacentral:rRNA from 1 species
GACGAACGCUGGGGGCGUGCCUAAUACAUGAAAGAGAACGCUGAAGAGAAGGAGCCAGCUCUUCUUGGAUGAGUUGCGAACGGGUGAGUAACGCGUAGGUAACCUGCCUUGUAGCGGGGGAUAACUAUUGGGAAACGAUAGCUAAUACCGCAUAACAAUGGAUGACUCAUGUCAUUUAUUUGAAAGGGGCAAAUGCUCCCACUACAAGAUGGACCUGCGUUGUAUUAGCUAGUAGGUGAGGUAACGGCUCACCUAGGCGACGAUACAUAGCCGACCUGAGAGGGUGAUCGGCCACACUGGGACUGAGACACGGCCCAGACUCCUACAGGAGGCAGCAGUAGGGAAUCUUCGGCAAUGGGGGCAACCCUGACCGAGCAACGCCGCGUGAGUGAAGAAGGUUUUCGGAUCGUAAAGCUCUGUUGUAAGUCAAGAACGAGUGUGAGAGUGGAAAGUUCACACUGUGACGGUAGCUUACCAGAAAGGGACGGCUAACUACGUGCCAGCAGCCGCGGUAAUACGUAGGCCCCGAGCGUUGUCCGGAUUUAUUGGGCGUAAAGCGAGCGCAGGCGGUUUGAUAAGUCUGAAGUUAAAGGCUGUGGCUCAACCAUAGUUCGCUUUGGAAACUGUCAAACUUGAGUGCAGAAGGGGAGAGUGGAAUUCCAUGUGUAGCGGUGAAAUGCGUAGAUAUAUGGAGGAACACCGGUGGCGAAAGCGGCUCUCUGGUCUGUAACUGACGCUGAGGCUCGAAAGCGUGGGGAGCGAACAGG